AUACUUACCUGGCAGGGGGAGUACCACAGUCAAGAAGGUGGUUUCCCGAGGGUGAGGCUCUCCCAUUCUACACUUCAGUUGCGAUGACCCCUGUGAUUUCCCCAAAGGUGGUGAACUCAGCUGCAUAAUUUAUGGUUUUAAUCUGACAAGAAAACAGAUCUGUUUCUUUUA